GGACAGCCUUCUGAAAGGAAGAUUAAUACAAGAUGGCAUCAUGAGUUCACAUGUUCACAUGAUUAAAGGUAUUCCGGUAGACGAUGGGGAUGCGUUCCAUUAGAUAGUAGGCGGGGUAACGGCCCACCUAGUCUUCGAUGGAUAGGGGUUCUGAGAGGAAGGUCCCCCACAUUGGAACUGAGACACGGUCCAAACUCCUACGGGAGGCAGCAGUGAGGAAUAUUGGUCAAUGGGCGAGAGCCUAAACCAGCCAAGUAGCGUGAAGGAUGACUGCCCUAUGGGUUGUAAACUUCUUUUAUAAAGGAAUAAAGUCGGGUAUGUAUACCCGUUUGCAUGUACUUUAUGAAUAAGGAUCGGCUAACUCCGUGCCAGCAGCCGCGGUAAUACGGAGGAUCCGAGCGUUAUCCGGAUUUAUUGGGUUUAAAGGGAGCGUAGAUGGAUGUUUAAGUCAGUUGUGAAAGUUUGCGGCUCAACCGUAAAAUUGCAGUUGAUACUGGAUAUCUUGAGUGCAGUUGAGGCAGGCGGAAUUCGUGGUGUAGCGGUGAAAUGCUUAGAUAUCACGAAGAACUCCGAUUGCGAAGGCAGCCUGCUAAGCUGCAACUGACAUUGAGGCUCGAAAGUGUGGGUAUCAAACAGGAUUAGAUACCCUGGUAGUCCACACGGUAAACGAUGAAUACUCGCUGUUUGCGAUAUACUGCAAGCGGCCAAG
rnacentral:rRNA from 1 species